rnacentral:sRNA from 1 species
GACAGACAGUCAGACACACGCAUUGGUAAACUUACAAUGACUUUUUUUCCUUCGACUAGGCUCCAUGUUAAUGACAUGGGUUGCAGAAAAUCCAGCCGGAAGACAGAUGUUCAAGAGUGACAGCUCAAUCAUUGUCCUCUGCUGGGAAGUGCUCCUGCGAUAGCAUUCCGUGGUGUCUGGAUGUUCAAGGUUCUAUUUUUUUAAUGUCAUAUGGGAAACCUCUAUCCUUCUCAAUUAAUUAGAAACACAGAAGAACACUCAUCAAAUGCUCAAGAUAGAAGUCCAUCCUUCAUACAACAUCCAUACUCCUGGGAAGCCAGGAGAAAUAAGAGAUUCCGCAAUAUCCCGUGCGGGUCUCACUGUGUCGUCCCUGGAUGGCCUGGAAUUGGCCACGUAGAACAGAAUGGCCUGAAAUUCACAGAGAUCCAUUCUCCUGCCUCUGCUCCCCACCCUCCAAGCACUGAGGUGCGUGGCUCCAAAUCUGGCCUCAAACUGCUAUGGCUGUCGGAGGUACUCCAUGGUGAUUUCAGAGGAUCUCUUUUCUAAGCAUUCCUGGUGCAAGGUACAUGAAUGAAUCCCAGAAGGAGAGCAUUGGUGUCUUUAGACUCCAUGUCCUAGUAUUUAAUUCCCUGACCUUUUCCUGUGUCCCCUGUCAGUCUUAGUUUAUGCAGCCAUUUUUAACAUUCGAAAUGUAUUUCUUUUUUGUUCUUAUCGAUCAUCUUUGUAUCAUUCAGUGCAAGCCUAGUGUGUACGGUUUGUUGUGCUUAUGUGAGGGAGAGAAAAACAACACAAUAAUGACUCAUAUCACUGAAGCUUUGCUUGUGAUAAUUGGGGCAGAGAGGAAGGAUGGAGUGGAAAUUGAGGAAAAGGGUCUUAGCCUGAAUUUUCCAAAUUGGUUAUUUAUCUGUUAAUUCUUCAUCUUUCCUCAUCACCAUGUCUGAAUUCAGAAAGUCUUCCUAAUGAUAAUAAACUGCGUCAAGAACAGAUGGCUGAUUUGAUGGGAUGAAAAUAGCUGUGUCAAUUGAGGGCAUUUUUUUCCUUACCCAUUUUGCUUUUCAUCACUCUGGGGUUGGUGGUUCAUGCUUUUUUCCCCUUGUACAGAAUGUACUCUCAGCCUAAUAAAAUACCGUGAAUCUCUCCCCCAAAGCAGUUUGGGCCCUUUUCUCUGAAAGACUUGAGAAGUGGCCUUUUGUUAUUAUUUCUGAGUAAUUUCUACCUUUCUUGCCUUCUCAGUUUUAGAUAAGUUACUUUUGGAAGGAUCAGUUUACAACAAAUGUUUAAUGUCAGGAAUUUUACAUUGUCAUGGGCCUGACAGCUUGGCCUGAGAAGAGGUGGGAUUAUGUCAAUUGUAAAUGAGUAUGCUAUUACAUACUAAUUAGACUUUGCACUAGUGGGGUGAAAGAGUGUCCUUUGGAACACCCCAGUUGUUGUGUUUAUAUGACUGUUGUCUAUUGAAACCAUCCAUUGUCUGGCAUUUUCCAGUCUCAUCUCCUCAAUGCCAAUUCAUAGCCUUUUACUUAAAAAUAUCCCUCCACUGCUCAUUGACAGAUACUCAGAAUAUCUAACAAUAAAAAAAAAAAAACUCUGUGAGUCACAUGCUUUGUCAUAGCACCUAGUUUGAUGGCACCAAUGACAAGGUAGGCUUGUCAAUUACAUCCUAAAUGCAAGACAUUUUGCUAAAAACGUCCUUUACAUUUUAAGUUUUCCUGACCUUCAAAAGAAUAUGAGAAUAUGUUUUAUAACAUUUUUUUUCUGAGGAGAUUGGAGUUGCACAGUUCAUAAAUGUAGACAUCGGGAGUCUGUUGUCCAAUUUUUCAGCCACCUUUGUUACCUAUAGCCAAGCCCACAGAUUCGCACACUACUCUGUUCACACUGGGUGAGGGUCACUUUUGUCUAUUUACUCAUGGUCAGUGUGUUAAGCAAAAAAGUAGACAUGCAUAUUACCAGUGUGUUAUUUCUUUUCUACCCUCUGAAAACAUCACCAUUUCAGGUUCAUAUACCAGAUACCUUUCCAUAGACUUCCACAAGUGCAGUGCGAAGCUGACUCAGUAACUCUCACAGUGUUGCCGGCUUAUGAAAGGAAAAGUGAUUAAUAGUCUAGUUAGCUAUUUUACUCUCUUGCUUCGGCAGAAGGUAGUUUAUUAGACUUGGCUAAUGACGUUUUCCCUCUGUUGCUAGAUAAGAAGCAGAAUCAACAAUGUGUCACAUCUGUGUGGGAGCUGGCUCAACAAGGAGCUCAGCCACAUAGAGCAACAUCUGAUGGUUUCUGACUGUUUCCUGAUUGGGUUGGGCGGAGGCCAUCUAUGUGGAUGCUUCUGUCCUGAGAGCACAAAGCUGUGUAUGUUAGGCAUUGUCCACAGAGUGACAUCACUUCCUAAAAGAAAUGAUAGAAAAGGGUGGGUGAGAUGUCCCCCGUGAAAAGCACUUGCAGCUAAGCCCAAUGACCUGAUUUUAAGCCCUGAGACCCACAUAAUAGAAGGAGAAAAACAACUCUCACAGGUUAUCUUCUGGCUUCCAUACAAGUUUCAUGCCACAUGCCACAUGCGUGCCCUCACACAAUAAUUAUUUUUUAAUGAAAAUGACAGAUAUAGCCUUGAUAGUUAACAUCAGAAUACCUUGCUAUGAGGGUUAUGUGACUCCUUCCUUACUCUUUCCUUACUAUUUUCAAUAACUUUUAAGGUUGAAAUAAUUCCAUAAUGGAGUAAAAAGUAAAAUCCAGGGAAAAGAAAAACAGAACAUACAGCUUAGCUCCCAUAAUUCCCAGCAAGCAGAGCACAUUUCCUGAAUGCGACAUAGUCUUGCUCACAGACGUGCCAAAACAAAAAAAUACAAAUCUAAAAUUUGAGCUGAUAACUUAGAUUGUGGCAGAGAUAGCAACUUGUGAAAAGUCACAAUUUUGCAUUGUGCUGGGAAGCCACCUUCUGUGGGGGACUACUGUCACUCUUUAAUACCCAGCAGAGGCACCCCACUGUGCUUUGUCAGUCAGGAGCAACAUCCAAGGCUCUCUGUAAAAGUAAUUCACACUUUUCUCACAACACUGUUGCUUUAAUUACCACUGAACUCUGCGGAUGCUCAGGCAGGCCUGGUAGGACAUGGCAGAGGCACAGAAAAAGCAAAUGGCUUUUCUCUUUCUUACUUCAUGAUUAGCAGCUCAUCUUUGAUGGAAGGGUUCCUAGUUCUGAAUCCUGGACUUAACUCCUUUUGGCAUAUUUAUUAUCAAGAGAAACACAGAUGUGUGU